rnacentral:rRNA from 1 species
UGAGGAAUAUUGGUCAAUGGGCGCGAGCCUGAACCAGCCAAGUAGCGUGAAGGAUGACUGCCCUAUGGGUUGUAAACUUCUUUUAUAGGGGAAUAAAGUUGGCCACGUGUGGCCUUUUGUAUGUACCUUAUGAAUAAGGAUCGGCUAACUCCGUGCCAGCAGCCGCGGUAAUACGGAGGAUCCGAGCGUUAUCCGGAUUUAUUGGGUUUAAAGGGAGCGUAGGCGGGGGCUUAAGUCAGUUGUGAAAGUUUGCGGCUCAACCGUAAAAUUGCAGUUGAUACUGGAUAUCUUGAGUGCAGUUGAGGCAGGCGGAAUUCGUGGUGUAGCGGUGAAAUGCUUAGAUAUCACGAAGAACUCCGACAGCGAAGGCAUUCUGCCGGGGCGAAACUGACGCUGAGGCUCGAAAGUGCGGGUAUCAAACAGGAUUAGAUACC